ACCGUCUUCCACCCGCCCCUCCCGCCAUCAUCACCUGGUUCAUUGUCACUCCGUCCCGAUUCUGGGUUCUUGGGCGCGCCGAACUUCACGCGGACGCGUAGAGUGCCGUGCGUAAACGGGUCUCGUCGUUUAAAUAACAGGUGAAGAAAGGGCCGGGCAAGACCGGUGCCAGCCGCCGCGGUAAUACCGGCGGCUCGAGUGGGUGGCCACUAUUACUGGGCUUAAAGCGUUCGUAGCUGGUUUGUUAAGUCUCUGGGGAAAUCUGCCGGCUCAACCGGCAGGCAUUCCAGGAUACUGGCAGACUAGGGACCGGGAGAGGUGAGGGGUACUCCAGGGUAGGAGUGAAAUCCUGUAAUCCUUGGGGGACCACCUGUGGCGAAGGCGCCUCACCAGAACGGCUCCGACAGUGAGGGACGAAAGCUGGGGGAGCAAACCGGAUUAGAUACCCGGGUAGUCCCAGCUGUAAACGAUGCGCGUUAGGUGUAUCGGUGACCACGAGUCACCGAGGUGCCGAAGAGAAAUCGUGAAACGUGCCGCCUGGGAAGUACGGUCGCAAGGCUGAAACUUAAAGGAAUUGGCGGGGGAGCACCACAACAGGUGGAGCCUGCGGUUUAAUCGGACUCAACGCCGGGAAUCUCACCGGAUAAGACAGCUGGAUGAUAGUCGGGCUGAAGACUCUACUUGACUAGCUGAGAGGAGGUGCAUGGCCGUCGUCAGUUCGUACUGUGAAGCAUCCUGUUAAGUCAGGCAACGAGCGAGACCCACGCCAACAGUUGCCAGCUCGUCCUCCGGGAUGGUGGGGACACUGUUGGGACCGCCUCUGCUAAAGAGGAGGAAGGAAUGGGCAACGGUAGGUCAGCAUGCCCCGAAUUAUCCGGGCUACACGCGGGCUACAUGGGUGGGACAUGGGUAUCGACACCGAAAGGUGAAGGCAAUCUCCUAAACCCAUCCAUAGUUCGGAUUGUGGGCUCCACUCGCCCACAUGAAGCUGAAU
rnacentral:rRNA from 1 species